UACGUAGGGGGCUAGCGUUGUCCGGAAUCAUUGGGCGUAAAGCGCGCGUAGGCGGCCAGAUAAGUCCGGUGUGAAAGUCAAAGGCUCAACCUUUGAAUGCCGCUGGAAACUGUCUGGCUUGAGUCCGGAAGGGGCGAGUGGAAUUCCCGGUGUAGCGGUGAAAUGCGUAGAGAUCGGGAGGAAUACCAGUGGCGAAGGCGGCCUUCUGGACUGACACUGACGCUGAGGCGCGAAAGCCAGGGGAGCGAACAGG
rnacentral:rRNA from 1 species